rnacentral:rRNA from 1 species
GACGAACGCUGGCGGCGUGCCUAAUACAUGCAAGUUGAGCGCUGAAGGUUGGUACUUGUACCAACUGGAUGAGCAGCGAACGGGUGAGUAACGCGUGGGGAAUCUGCCUUUGAGCGGGGGACAACAUUUGGAAACGAAUGCUAAUACCGCAUAAAAACUUUAAACACAAGUUUUAAGUUUGAAAGAUGCAAUUGCAUCACUCAAAGAUGAUCCCGCGUUGUAUUAGCUAGUUGGUGAGGUAAAGGCUCACCAAGGCGAUGAUACAUAGCCGAACUGAGAGGGUGAUCGGCCACAUUGGGACUGAGACACGGCCCAAACUCCUACGGGAGGCAGUAGUAGGGAAUCUUCGGCAAUGGACGAAAGUCUGACCGAGCAACGCCGCGUGAGUGAAGAAGGUUUUCGGAUCGUAAAACUCUGUUGGUAGAGAAGAACGUUGGUGAGAGUGGAAAGCUCAUCAAGUGACGGUAACUACCCAGAAAGGGACGGCUAACUACGUG